rnacentral:rRNA from 1 species
UACGUAGGGUGCAAGCGUUGCCCGGAAUUACUGGGCGUAAAGCGCGCGUAGGCGGUUUGUUAAGUCUGCUGUGAAAUCCCCGGGCUCAACCUGGGAAUGGCAGUGGAUACUGGCAAGCUAGAGUGCGGUAGAGGGUAGUGGAAUUCCCGGUGUAGCGGUGAAAUGCGUAGAGAUCGGGAGGAACACCAGUGGCGAAGGCGGCUACCUGGACCAGCACUGACACUCAGGCACGAAAGCGUGGGGAGCAAACAGG